ACAUCCUCUGACACCCCUAGAGAUAGGGCUCUCCCUUCGGGGACAGAGUGACAGGUGGUGCAUGGUUGUCGUCAGCUCGUGUCGUGAGAUGUUGGGUUAAGUCCCGCAUCGAGCGCAACCCUUGAUCUUAGUUGCCAGCAUUAAGUUGGGCACUCUAAGGUGACUGCCGGUGACAAACCGGAGGAAGGUGGGGAUGACGUCAAAUCAUCAUGCCCCUUAUGACCUGGGCUACACACGUGCUACAAUGGAUGGUACAAAGGGCAGCGAAGCCGCGAGGUGAAGCAAAUCCCAUAAAACCAUUCUCAGUUCGGAUUGCAGGCUGCAACUCGCCUGCAUGAAGCCGGAAUCGCUAGUAAUCGC
rnacentral:rRNA from 1 species